ensembl:piRNA 21ur-1915 ncRNA
UAUUGAUUUGAUUACAACAAU